rnacentral:rRNA from 1 species
UACGUAGGGGGCGAGCGUUGUCCGGAUUUAUUGGACGUAAAGAGCGUGUAGGCGGCCAGGUAGGUCUGCUGUGAAAACUCGAGGCUCAACCUCGAGACGUCGGCGGAAACCAUCUGGCUAGAGUCCGGAAGAGGAGAGUGGAAUUCCUGGUGUAGCGGUGAAAUGCGCAGAUAUCGGGAAGAACACCCGUGGCGAAGGCGGCUCUCUGGGACGGUACUGACGCUGAGACGCGAAAGCGUGGGGAGCGAACAGG